CCCGGGGGCGGACGCGGCCUAGUGGCGGACGGGUGAGUAACGCGUGGGCAAUCUGCCCCGUACCGGGGGAUAACACCUGGAAACAGGUGCUAACACCGCAUGACAGGCGGGGGCGCAUGCCCCGGCCUUGAAAACUCCGGUGGUACGGGAUGAGCCCGCGUCCGAUUAGCCAGUUGGCGGGGUAACGGCCCACCAAAGCGACGAUCGGUAGCCGGCCUGAGAGGGUGGACGGCCACAUUGGGACUGAGACACGGCCCAAACUCCUACGGAAGGCAGCAG
rnacentral:rRNA from 1 species